AACCACAUCGGUGGCUUAGUGUUUAGAACGUCCACCUCAGAUGCGGGAGGGCGUGGGCUUGAUCCCCAGUCGAGUCA